rnacentral:rRNA from 1 species
UGCAAGUCGAACGAGUUCUGAUUAUUGAAAGGUGCUUGCAUCUUGAUUUAAUUUUGAACGAGUGGCGGACGGGUGAGUAACACGUGGGUAACCUGCCCUUAAGUGGGGGAUAACAUUUGGAAACAGAUGCUAAUACCGCAUAAAUCCAAGAACCGCAUGGUUCUUGGCUGAAAGAUGGCGUAAGCUAUCGCUUUUGGAUGGACCCGCGGCGUAUUAGCUAGUUGGUGAGGUAACGGCUCACCAAGGCAAUGAUACGUAGCCGAACUGAGAGGUUGAUCGGCCACAUUGGGACUGAGACACGGCCCAAACUCCUACGGGAGGCAGCAGUAGGGAAUCUUCCACAAUGGACGCAAGUCUGAUGGAGCAACGCCGCGUGAGUGAAGAAGGCUUUCGGGUCGUAAAACUCUGUUGUUGGAGAAGAAUGGUCGGCAGAGUAACUGUUGUCGGCGUGACGGUAUCCAACCAGAAAGCCACGGCUAACUACGUGCCAGCAGCCGCGGUAAUACGUAGGUGGCAAGCGUUAUCCGGAUUUAUUGGGCGUAAAGCGAGCGCAGGCGGUUUUUUAAGUCUGAUGUGAAAGCCCUCGGCUUAACCGAGGAAGUGCAUCGGAAACUGGGAAACUUGAGUGCAGAAGAGGACAGUGGAACUCCAUGUGUAGCGGUGAAAUGCGUAGAUAUAUGGAAGAACACCAGUGGCGAAGGCGGCUGUCUGGUCUGUAACUGACGCUGAGGCUCGAAAGCAUGGGUAGCGAACAGGAUUAGAUACCCUGGUAGUCCAUGCCGUAAACGAUGAAUGCUAGGUGUUGGAGGGUUUCCGCCCUUCAGUGCCGCAGCUAACGCAUUAAGCAUUCCGCCUGGGGAGUACGACCGCAAGGUUGAAACUCAAAGGAAUUGACGGGGGCCCGCACAAGCGGUGGAGCAUGUGGUUUAAUUCGAAGCAACGCGAAGAACCUUACCAGGUCUUGACAUCUUUUGAUCACCUGAGAGAUCAGGUUUCCCCUUCGGGGGCAAAAUGACAGGUGGUGCAUGGUUGUCGUCAGCUCGUGUCGUGAGAUGUUGGGUUAAGUCCCGCAACGAGCGCAACCCUUAUGACUAGUUGCCAGCAUUUAGUUGGGCACUCUAGUAAGACUGCCGGUGACAAACCGGAGGAAGGUGGGGAUGACGUCAAAUCAUCAUGCCCCUUAUGACCUGGGCUACACACGUGCUACAAUGGAUGGUACAACGAGUUGCGAGACCGCGAGGUCAAGCUAAUCUCUUAAAGCCAUUCUCAGUUCGGACUGUAGGCUGCAACUCGCCUACACGAAGUCGGAAUCGCUAGUAAUCGCGGAUCAGCACGCCGCGGUGAAUACGUUCCCGGGCCUUGUACACACCGCCCGUCACACCGAUGAGAAGUUUGUAACCACCCGAAGCCGGUGGCGUAACCCUUUUAGGGAGCGAGCCGUCUAAGG